rnacentral:lncRNA from 1 species
CCGAGGGGCCUUUCUGUGUGGGGAUGACCAGGCCGGCUGCCGACGCAGUAGUAGAAUCUCGCUCUGGAGAGCUGUUUCUGCCCUCCGUUUCUUCUUCAGCCAUGUUGCCAGCUCCACGUGCAGCCCCAGUCCCUGCCUCGGUUUCCCUGUUGACCCUCAACGGGGAAGCUCCACUUGUUCGGGGCCUGAGCCUGGUGAGCCAAGCUCCCGGGGAGGCUCUGGCCUGGGCGCUGCUGGAGUUGUGGUGUGUCCCUCCAAGGCCUCAUUCCCUUUCACUACCUCGAUUUCUCUUUCUGCUCCACACGUUGCCUUCGAGACCAUCGCAGUCAGGCAGGGAGGCCGUCAUCAUGAUUUCUUAUAGCCACCUGGGGCCAACUCUGGGUCCCAAGAGGACACAUCCAGACCUAGAGCUCUCUUCCUCCUUGUGAAGCUUGACAUUAUUUGGAAGAUGGGCAGUGAAGGACACUCAGGAACUGGGGCAAAGACAGGGCCCCAAAGGUGUGUGGGGCCAGUACUGUCUUUGGAAUUUUAAUCACAAUAAAGUUUGGCAAGAAAACUGUGUAUGUACUUACACUCAG